AUGGAUGCCCCUCGGGCUGCCCGGCCCUCCAACCAUCCCUCCCUGCUCCAGUUUUUCAGAAGCCUCCUUGGGUACCCGCGGAGCUCGCUGGGGGCACAGGAGCCCAGAGCAGAGCAGCAGGAGCAGGGUGCUGCUGUAGGGCCCCGCAGCUGGCAGGCGGAGCGGGUUGAAAGCACCCAUGGGGGGAUCCAGGAGCACUGCGAGGAUGAGGAGGGGGACAGCAUGGAGCUGCUGCUGGGGGAGCUGCGGGAGGUCAGCCUGCAGGGAUCGCUGGGCAGCAGCACCAGCAGGAGCUGCCUGACCACCAGCACCAGUGAUGUGGAAGUGGCAGUGGAGGGCGAUGGGAUGGAGGCUACUGGUGGCACCGUGGCCCUGCAGAGCGAUGGGGCGGCCGGCGAGGAGAGAGGGGCUGCAGAUGAAGCCGUCGUUGGCCGAGCUCUGGUGAUGGAUGAGUUCCUUCAAGGUUUGGGUGCUGCUGAUGAAGACAUCUGCUCUGCAAGCCCUGAGCCGAUGUUUUCAAUGGAUCUUGACACUGAAUGGGAGAAAGGGCAUCUCCUGAAAGCAAAGCAGGGUGCAGGAUCCCCAAAAGCAGAGCUGUCCCUGUGGAACAGGUUCAUCAGUGUGAACAGACACCAGUGGACUUUGCGUAAGGCUCGUGCCUCGAGGAGUUCGAUGGAGCUGGAAAGCGAGGAGCAGCCGCUUCUGCGGGCAAAUGAGAGCAGCACCACGAGCCCCGAGCUCCCCGUCCUGCCCGCAGAACCGGUGUACAGAUGCAGCACCCGCAGAGGUGGGAGCAGCCCCGUGGAGCCACGCCGCCACCGUCCCGCAGGAGACAUCAGUGCUUCCCCUCUGCUGUGCCCAACCUGCCCAGGAACCCCGUGCUUCAUCUUCCUCCUCUUCUUUCCUUUGUGUUCAUCAUUCAUGUGCACACCGUGUUUCCUUUCUGCUUUCUCCAUUUCCUGCUCCUUGGAGAAGGUGCUGCGUGUCUCACCACACUGAUGGGGUGGACAAAUUUGGUCUGAGUUGGUUUCAAUUGAACAUUUUGUGUGAAUGAGCUCUUCUUGCUUCUCCCUCUGUGUUCUCAAGUUCCCUUAUUAAACAGUUCUCUGCUGAAUUUGCUUUUCUCCUUUCUUUCUUUCCUCCCACUUUCCAGUUUUUUUCAUGUUUUCCACUUUCCUCUCUGUGGUUUUUAAGGUGUUUUGGAUUAAUUUUUUAAUUUGGGGGCUAGAAAAGGCAAAGGAGAGGUGUGAUCCUUCGGUGUAUGAUGGUCCCCUGAUUGUUCAAGGUGACAAUCUUGUAUGCAGUGUUGGAGAGGGGCUGGAGGACCCCGACCCUGUAGAGGAGAAGACCCUCUGCUCUUCAUCUUUUGUUUGAGUACAUGGGAGAAACCAUGCGAGCAGGGCAGGAGGAGCUGCUGGCAGCCCGGCUCCUGCUAAUCUGGGAAUUGUAUGCCAGGAAGCACACACCCAGCUGACCUGCCCCAGACAAAGCCUGCCGUGUCCGCACCGGCUCUCCAGGCGCUCCCUGCGCGCCUUGGGGUUAUUUCACAGUUAUCCCAGCAUGGGUUCCUCCCCAGACUUCCACCUGCGUUGGCUGCAGGUUGGAGCACAUUGCUCCCGGCAUGGCUCACACGCUCUCCUUCUGCAAAGUGGGGCUGUGCCAUCUAAACUCUCCUGGCCGACCUGAAAUAACAGUGAUGAGAAGGGGAUCCCCUCCCUGUUCGUCUUGCAGGUGUUCACUUUGGACCCUUAUGAUGGCAAAUCCCCCAGGCCAUUGUUACUUUCUCUGGGUUGAGUGGAGCUAUUGCGUCGAUAGAAACGUCCCACAUCACCUCUCUGGGUAGCAGAACUCUGCGUCCUUGAUGUGUCCUUAGAAACCUUCAUCUCCAAAUAAACUUCUGCGGGAUUUCCUGUAGAAAAGCA
ensembl:lncRNA